rnacentral:rRNA from 1 species
AUGGCGACCUCCAAGCCGCGCCGUUCCAGUCGUACGAGGAGAACGGCGACGACUCUGGCGGAGAUCCCCGACCACCUCGUCGCGGAGAUCUUCCUCCGGCUGCCCGCCGCGGAAGACCUAGUCCGUGCCUCCGCCGCCUGCGUCUCCUUCCGCCGUCUCGUCGCCGACAAAUCCUUCCUCCGCCACUUCCGCCGCCUCCACGACCCGCCCCUCCUCGCCUUUUUCGACCGCAACGGGUUCCACCACCCCCUCCCGCCUCACCCCUCCGCGCCAGCCGCCAGCGCGCUCGCCGACGCCGCCGACCUCUCCUUCUCCUUCUCCCCCAACCACGGCCGGUGGUCCGUCUAG